rnacentral:rRNA from 1 species
UAGGGAAUAUUGGGCAAUGGGCGAAAGCCUGACCCAGCAACGCCGCGUGAGGGAAGAAGGCCUUCGGGUUGUAAACCUCUGUCCUUGGUGACGAAAAAAAUGACGGUAGCCAAGGAGGAGGCCCCGGCUAACUACGUGCCAGCAGCCGCGGUAAUACGUAGGGGGCGAGCGUUGUCCGGAAUUACUGGGCGUAAAGGGUGCGUAGGCGGUCGAUUAAGUUGGAUGUGAAAUACCCGGGCUUAACUUGGGGGGUGCAUCCAAAACUGGUCGACUAGAGUGCAGGAGAGGGAAGCGGAAUUCCUAGUGUAGCGGUGAAAUGCGUAGAUAUUAGGAGGAACACCAGUGGCGAAGGCGGCUUUCUGGACUGUAGCUGACGCUGAGGCACGAAAGCGUGGGGAGCAAACAGGAUUAGAUACCCUGGUAGUCCACGCUGUAAACGAUGAAUACUAGGUGUAGGGGGUAUCAACUCCCCCUGUGCCGCAGCUAACGCAAUAAGUAUUCCGUCCU